GCAUAUCAAUAAGCGGAGGAAAAGAAACUAACAAGGAUUCCCCUAGUAACUGCGAGUGAAGCGGGAAAAGCUCAAAUUUAAAAUCCUUCGGGAGUUGUAAUCUAUAGAAGUGUUUUCGGUCGUUGCCUCGGACAAGUCUCUUGGAACAGAGCGUCAUAGAGGGUGAGAAUCCCGUCCUUGCCGAGCUCCCAACGUCUAUGUGAUACACUUUCAAAGAGUCGAGUUGUUUGGAUUGCAGCUCAAAAUGGGUGGUAAACUCCAUCUAAAGCUAAAUAUUGGCGAGAGACCGAUAGCGAACAAGUACCGUGAGGGAAAGAUGAAAAGCACUUUGGAAAGAGAGUUAAACAGUACGUGAAAUUGUUGAAAGGGAAGCGCUUGAAGUCAGUCGCGUUGCAAGGACUCAGCCUCACGGUGUAUUUCUUUGCAACGGGUCAACAUCAGUUUUGACCGCGGGAAAAGGGCUUGAGGAAUGUGGCAACUUCGGUUGUGUUAUAGCCUCUUGUCGUACACCGCGGUUGGGACUGAGGUCUGCUUACAGGAUGUGA
rnacentral:rRNA from 1 species